AUCUACAGCCAUGCCACCCUGAACAAGCCCGAUCCCGUCUGAUCUCAGAAGCUAAGCAGGGUCGGGCCUGGUUAGUACUUGGAUGGGAGACCAGCUAGGAAGACCAGGUGCUGUAGGCU
rnacentral:rRNA from 1 species